rnacentral:rRNA from 1 species
UUAAAUUGAAGAGUUUGAUCAUGGCUCAGAUUGAACGCUGGCGGCAGGCCUAACACAUGCAAGUCGAACGGUAACAGGAAACAGCUUGCUGUUUCGCUGACGAGUGGCGGACGGGUGAGUAAUGUCUGGGAAACUGCCUGAUGGAGGGGGAUAACUACUGGAAACGGUAGCUAAUACCGCAUAAUGUCGCAAGACCAAAGAGGGGGACCUUCGGGCCUCUUGCCAUCGGAUGUGCCCAGAUGGGAUUAGCUAGUAGGUGGGGUAACGGCUCACCUAGGCGACGAUCCCUAGCUGGUCUGAGAGGAUGACCAGCCACACUGGAACUGAGACACGGUCCAGACUCCUACGGGAGGCAGCAGUGGGGAAUAUUGCACAAUGGGCGCAAGCCUGAUGCAGCCAUGCCGCGUGUAUGAAGAAGGCCUUCGGGUUGUAAAGUACUUUCAGCGGGGAGGAAGGGAGUAAAGUUAAUACCUUUGCUCAUUGACGUUACCCGCAGAAGAAGCACCGGCUAACUCCGUGCCAGCAGCCGCGGUAAUACGGAGGGUGCAAGCGUUAAUCGGAAUUACUGGGCGUAAAGCGCACGCAGGCGGUUUGUUAAGUCAGAUGUGAAAUCCCCGGGCUCAACCUGGGAACUGCAUCUGAUACUGGCAAGCUUGAGUCUCGUAGAGGGGGGUAGAAUUCCAGGUGUAGCGGUGAAAUGCGUAGAGAUCUGGAGGAAUACCGGUGGCGAAGGCGGCCCCCUGGACGAAGACUGACGCUCAGGUGCGAAAGCGUGGGGAGCAAACAGGAUUAGAUACCCUGGUAGUCCACGCCGUAAACGAUGUCGACUUGGAGGUUGUGCCCUUGAGGCGUGGCUUCCGGAGCUAACGCGUUAAGUCGACCGCCUGGGGAGUACGGCCGCAAGGUUAAAACUCAAAUGAAUUGACGGGGGCCCGCACAAGCGGUGGAGCAUGUGGUUUAAUUCGAUGCAACGCGAAGAACCUUACCUGGUCUUGACAUCCACGGAAGUUUUCAGAGAUGAGAAUGUGCCUUCGGGAACCGUGAGACAGGUGCUGCAUGGCUGUCGUCAGCUCGUGUUGUGAAAUGUUGGGUUAAGUCCCGCAACGAGCGCAACCCUUAUCCUUUGUUGCCAGCGGUCCGGCCGGGAACUCAAAGGAGACUGCCAGUGAUAAACUGGAGGAAGGUGGGGAUGACGUCAAGUCAUCAUGGCCCUUACGACCAGGGCUACACACGUGCUACAAUGGCGCAUACAAAGAGAAGCGACCUCGCGAGAGCAAGCGGACCUCAUAAAGUGCGUCGUAGUCCGGAUUGGAGUCUGCAACUCGACUCCAUGAAGUCGGAAUCGCUAGUAAUCGUGGAUCAGAAUGCCACGGUGAAUACGUUCCCGGGCCUUGUACACACCGCCCGUCACACCAUGGGAGUGGGUUGCAAAAGAAGUAGGUAGCUUAACCUUCGGGAGGGCGCUUACCACUUUGUGAUUCAUGACUGGGGUGAAGUCGUAACAAGGUAACCGUAGGGGAACCUGCGGUUGGAUCACCUCCUUACCUUAAAGAAGC